CCUACGGGUGGCAGCAGUGGGGAAUAUUGCACAAUGGGGGAAACCCUGAUGCAGCGACGCCGCGGGAGUGAAGAAGUAAUUCGUUAUGUAAAGCUCUAUCAGCAGGGAAGAAAAUGACGGUACCUGAGUAAGAAGCCACGGCUAACUACGUGCAAGCAGCCGCGGUAAUACGUAGGGGGCAAGCGUUAUCCGGAUUUACUGGGUGUAAAGGGAGCGUGGACGGCAGUGCAAGUCUGGAGUGAAAGGCGGGGGCUCAACCCCCGGACUGCUCUGGAAACUGUACGGCGGGAGUGCAGGAGAGGUAAGUGGAAUUCCUAGUGUAGCGGUGAAAUGCGUAGAUAUUAGGAGGAACACCAGUGGCGAAGGCGGCCUGCUGGACGAUGACUGACGUUGAGGCUCGAAAGCGUGGGGAGCAAUCAGGAUUAGAUACCCCGGUAGUC
rnacentral:rRNA from 1 species